AGACGGAGGGGGCUAGCGUUGUUCGGAAUUACUGGGCGUAAAGCGCGCGUAGGCGGACCAUCAAGUUGGGCGUGAAAGCCCUGGGCUCAACCCAGGAAUUGCGCUCGAAACUGGUGGACUAGAGUCCGGGAGAGGAUAGUGGAAUUCCCAGUGUAGAGGUGAAAUUCGUAGAUAUUGGGAAGAACACCAGUGGCGAAGGCGGCUAUCUGGACCGGUACUGACGCUGAGGUGCGAAAGCGUGGGGAGCAAACAGGAUUAGAUACCCCAGUAGUCC
rnacentral:rRNA from 1 species